GAGAAUGGCUCGACAGCAGUAAGGACUGCUAAUCCUUAACCCCCUCGGUUAAACCCCGAGGCUUCCUCG
rnacentral:tRNA from 1 species